CGCGUAGGCGGCGCGGUAAGUCUUCUGUGAAACCUCUGGGCUUAACUCAGAGCCUGCAGAGGAAACUGCCGUGCUCGAGUGUGGGAGAGGCGAGUGGAAUUCCCGGUGUAGCGGUGAAAUGCGUAGAUAUCGGGAGGGACACCAGUGGCGAAGGCGGCUCGCUGGACCACAACUGACGCUGAGGCGCGAAAGCUAGGGUAGCAAACAGGAUUAGAUACCCUGGUAGUCCUAGCCUUAAACGAUGAAUGCUUGGUGUGAUCGGUAUCCAAUCCGAUUGUGCCGCAGCUAACGCGAUAAGCAUUCCGCCUGGGGAGUACGGUCGCAAGGCUGAA
rnacentral:rRNA from 1 species